AGGGCGGCCUGAAGGAGCUGGCAGGUGUCCGCGUGUCCCUCUUGCCUUGUGUGUCCGGUCAGCUGUGAAGGCUGGGUGACUUUGAACUUGAUGGACCCAAGACCUGUCUCGUGAGGUGUAAACCAGCCCCAAAGCAAGAUGGCGUUUGUCGCAACACAAGGGGCCACCGUGGUUGACCAAACUACACUGAUGAAGAAAUACCUCCAGUUUGUGGCAGCUCUCACGGAUGUGAACACACCUGAUGAAACAAAGUUAAAAAUGAUGCAAGAAGUUAUCGAGAAUUUUGAGGUAUGAGCUUCGUACUUCAUGUUUCUCAUGUUGAAGC